rnacentral:rRNA from 1 species
UACGAAGGGGGCUAGCGUUGUUCGGAAUUACUGGGCGUAAAGGGCGCGUAGGCGGCCCCGUGCGUCGAGCGUGAAAGGCCUGGGCUCAACCCAGGAAUGGCGCUCGAUACGGCGAGGCUAGAGUGCAGAAGAGGAUGGUGGAAUUCCCAGUGUAGAGGUGAAAUUCGUAGAUAUUGGGAAGAACACCGGUGGCGAAGGCGGCCAUCUGGACUGCAACUGACGCUGAGGCGCGAAAGCGUGGGGAGCAAACAGG